rnacentral:rRNA from 1 species
AGUGAACGCUGGCGGUAGGCCUAACACAUGCCAGUCGAACGGCAGCACAGUAAGAGCUUGCUCUUACGGGUGGCGAGUGGCGGACGGGUGAGGAAUACAUCGGAAUCUACUUUUUCGUGGGGGAUAACGUAGGGAAACUUACGCUAAUACCGCAUACGACCUACGGGUGAAAGCAGGGGAUCUUCGGACCUUGCGCGAUUGAAUGAGCCGAUGUCGGAUUAGCUAGUUGGCGGGGUAAAGGCCCGCCAAGGCGACGAUCCGUAGCUGGUCUGAGAGGAUGAUCAGCCACACUGGAACUGAGACACGGUCCAGACUCCUACGGGAGGCAGCAGUGGGGAAUAUUGGACAAUGGGCGCAAGCCUGAUCCAGCCAUACCGCGUGGGUGAAGAAGGCCUUCGGGUUGUAAAGCCCUUUUGUUGGGAAAGAAAAGCAGCAGGUUAAUACCCCGCUGUUCUGACGGUACUCAAAGAAUAAGCACCGGCUAACUUCGUG